UGAGGAAUAUUGGUCAAUGGACGCAAGUUUGAACCAGCCAAGUAGCGUGCAGGAGGACGGCCCUAUGGGUUGUAAACUGCUUGUAUAUGGGGAUAAAGUGGGGAACGUGUUCCCUUUUGCAGGUACCAUAUGAAUAAGGACCGGCUAAUUCCGUGCCAGCAGCCGCGGUAAUACGGAAGGUUCGGGCGUUAUCCGGAUUUAUUGGGUUUAAAGGGAGCGUAGGCCGUUUGGUAAGAGUGUUGUGAAAUGUAGGAGCUCAACUUCUAGAUUGCAGCGCGAACUGUCAGACUUGAGUGCGCACAACGUAGGCGGAAUUCAUGGUGUAGCUGUGAAAUGCUUAGAUAUCAUGAAGAACUCCGAUUGCGAAGGCAGCUUACGGGAGCGCAACUGACGCUGAAGCUCGAAGGUGCGGGUAUCGAACAGG
rnacentral:rRNA from 1 species